rnacentral:rRNA from 1 species
AUACGUAGGGGGCGAGCGUUGUCCGGAUUGAUUGGGCGUAAAGGGCGCGUAGGCGGCCCGGUAAGUCUGGAGUGAAAGCCCUGUUUUUAAGAUGGGAAUUGCUUUGGAUACUGUCGGGCUUGAGUGCAGGAGAGGAAAGUGGAAUUCCCAGUGUAGCGGUGAAAUGCGUAGAGAUUGGGAGGAACACCAGUGGCCAAGGCGACUUACUGGACUGUAACUGACGCUGAGGCGCGAAAGUGUGGGGAGCAAACAGGAUUAGAUACCCUGGUAGUCCACACUGUAAACGAUGAAUGCUAGGUGUAGGAGGUAUCGACCCCUUCUGUGCCGCAGUCAACGCAUUAAGCAUUCCGCCUGGGGAGUACGGCCGCAAGGUUGAAACUCAAAUGAAUUGACGGGG